rnacentral:rRNA from 1 species
GAGCGCACCCUUCGGGGUGAGCGGCGGACGGGUUAGUAACGCGUGGGAACGUACCUUUCGGUAAGGAAUAGCCUCUGGAAACGGAGAGUAAUACCUUAUACGCCCUUUGGGGGAAAGAUUUAUCGCCGAGGGAUCGGCCCGCGUUAGAUUAGAUAGUUGGUGGGGUAAUGGCCUACCAAGUCUACGAUCUAUAGCUGGUUUUAGAGGAUGAUCAGCAACACUGGGACUGAGACACGGCCCAGACUCCUACGGGAGGCAGCAGUGGGGAAUCUUGGACAAUGGGCGCAAGCCUGAUCCAGCCAUGCCGCGUGAGUGAUGAAGGCCUUAGGGUCGUAAAGCUCUUUCGCCAGGGAUGAUAAUGACAGUACCUGGUAAAGAAACCCCGGCUAACUCCGUGCCAGCAGCCGCGGUAAUACGGAGGGGGUUAGCGUUGUUCGGAAUUACUGGGCGUAAAGCGUACGUAGGCGGACCAUUAAGUUGGGGGUGAAAUCCCAGGGCUCAACCCUGGAACUGCCUCCAAAACUGCUGGUCUUGAGUUCGAGAGAGGUGAGUGGAAUUCCGAGUGUAGAGGUGAAAUUCGUAGAUAUUCGGAGGAACACCAGUGGCGAAGGCGGCUCACUGGCUCGAUACUGACGCUGAGGUACGAAA